rnacentral:rRNA from 1 species
UUAUGUUUUGGGGUUUUAUUUUGGUUAUUAGAAAAUUUAUUUUUAGUAGUAUGAGCGAAAUUUAGAGGGUUCCUAAAGAGGAUAUAGUACUGAGAAGGAAAGUUUGGUUACUUGUUUAGAAUAUUAGGUUUUUUAGUACCUUUUGUAUUAGGGUUGAUUUAUGUGGUUUUGCUUUUGUAAUUUCUCGAUGAGUAUCGGGCUAUUUUUCCUUACGGUAUUCUCGUUGUAUAGAGUUGAAUAGGGGAUUAUAGGUAUGAAAUAUUAUUCAAGUUGCUUUUUAUCUGGUUCUUUAAGAAGUUUAAUAGUCGGUAGUAUUAUUAUUACAAUAAGCAGGGAUUAGCUUGUUUAUUUUUUAUAUUGGACUUUGGUUGAAUUUUGUUUGUUAAGUUGAUAGUGCUUGUUUUGACGGAGUUAUUAUUGAGCAGGCUAUUUUUAUUAUUUUUCGGUUUUGUUUUUGUAUUAGGGUGGUGUUAUGAAUUUUUGAUGGUUUGUAAUAAUGAUUUUAUUAGUAAUAAUUUUUAUUGGGUCUAUUUUUAGUUUUCUGGUUUAUUGAAGUGGAUAGGUGAGUAUUUAAAUUUGGAUUAAUGAAUUAGGCAAGAUGAAUUUCUGACUGUUUAGCAAAGACAUUGUUUUUUGUUGUAGUAAAAAAUAAGUUCUGUCCACUGCUAUUGGGUGAAGGGCUGCAGUAUUUUGACUGUAUGAAGGUAGCAUAAUCAUUAGCUUCUUAAUUAGAAGCUGGUAUGAAGGUGAAACAGGGAUUUGCUGUAUUUUUUCUAUUUAUUGAAUUUUAUUUUUGUGUGAAAAAUCAUAAUUGGGUUAAUGGGACAAGAAGACCCUAAUAAGUUUUAUUUCCUUCUUUAAUGCGUGUAUAGGGCUGGAUUUGUGCAAUUUAUUUUGGGGGGUUUGGCUGGGGCGGCAUUUUAUUUAACAUAGAUUAAUUUUUAACUUAAUAUGGCGGUACUUAGACCUAGUUUGUUUAGAUUUGUGUGAAACUACUGUAGGGAUAACAGCGUGAUUUUUUUUGAGAGUUCUAAUUGACAAUAAAGUUUGCGACCUCGAUGUUGGAUUAAGAAGAGCGUUGGCGAAGUAGUUGAUGUUUUUGGUCUGUUCGA